rnacentral:rRNA from 1 species
UACGGAGGAUGCGAGCGUUAUCCGGAUCUAUUGGGUUUAAAGGGUGCGUAGGCUGAUCGUUAAGUCAGUGGUCAAAUUGAGGGGCUCAACCCCUUCCCGCCAUUGAAACUGGCGAUCUUGAGUGGAAGAGAAGUAUGCGGAAUGCGUGGUGUAGCGGUGAAAUGCAUAGAUAUCACGCAGAACCCCGAUUGCGAAGGCAGCAUGCCGGCUUCCUACUGACGCUGAAGCACGAAAGCGUGGGGAUCGAACAGG